UGUGACCCCUGCUUACAGAUAAAAGUCACAGCACAUCUCUUCAGACUCUCAUCUUCAGCUCCUCACUUCUCAGACUUCUUCAGACUCCAAGCUGCUCAGGAGACCUCCUGCUUAGACCAGGAAAGAGCUGCUUCGGACCAUGGGCCCUGCACGGGCCUGACCAACGCACACCCAGCAUCUGGAGAGAGCCUCUCGUCGCCCGGAGAACAUGUCCGGGCAGAUCAGGAAUCGAUUACAUGAAGCAGUAUCUCGAGGAUCCCUCCAUGCAGCCAGGUGAUGCGCCGAGGUCGAGUUCUUUUGGUGAAGAUGACUUUCUCAUCUCUGCAAGCAUCAAAGACCCAAGAUGGCGCCAAACAAUUUGAUGCCUACCUGUCCUGCUCAGCUGACCACAUGGAUAUGCUGAAGUCCUUUCCUUCUGUCUGCAAGCUGUCUGUCAAGCUCAACACGCCCCUCCCAGCCUCUGCAUCAUGCGGAAGGCUGUUCAGCAUAGCAGAUCUUAUUUUCAGCCCACGAAGAGUACGGCUAAAUUCUAGGCACUUUGAAAGCCAGCUGCUUUUGAAGAUGAACAGAAGGUUUUACAGGUUCAGGUGAUAAUGGGGUUAUGUGCAAGGAUGACCACAAGGGGUGGUUAAGAUUUGGAGAGGAAGAAAAAAGUCAAGGGCAAAAGUGUGUAGGGGAUGAGGGGCUUGUGUUUACAAAGUGUUUAAGAUUUAGUUAAUAGGCCUGAAGUGCAUCUUUUUUUCUCUGGUGUGAUGUACACUUCAUUUCAGCACUGCCUUUUUUUUACGUUUUAAGGUAGUUUUACAAAAAAUGCCUUCCUCUUCAGAUGCCAAAUAAGCUGCAGUUCCCUCCUAUUUCUUUUUCUUUUGUAUAAUGACCUGUUAUGUGUGUGGCUUUUAGUCUGUGAAGUACAGUAAUCUUUUUUUCUUCAUGUUGGCCGCGUUAACAAAAGGCUUUUUCAAACUGGACUCCCUCUUCAGAUGCCGGAUUAGCUUCAGUUUUUUUUCUUCUUUUUUUGUAAUGAUGUCAAUAACAGUAGCAGUAAUAAAACUUGGUCUAAUUUUCUCCUACA